GUAAAUAUUUCAGCAAUGGAAUAUGAGAGCGUCGUAAGGGUGCGUAACACGUAUGCAAUCUGCCCUCAACUGGGGUAUAGCUCGGUGAAAACCGGAUUAACCCCCCAUAAGAUCACGGUGUGGCAUCACACAGUGAUUAAAUCUCCGGAGGUUGAGGAUGAGCAUGCGGAUGAUUAGCUAGUUGGUAGUGUAACGAACUACCAAGGCGAUGAUCAAUAGGGGAACUGAGAGGUUGAUCCCCCACACUGGCACUGAGAUACGGGCCAGACUCCUACGGGAGGCAGCAGUAGGGAAUAUUGGACAAUGGGUGCAAGCCUGAUCCAGCCAUGCCGCGUGCAGGAAGAAGGCUUUCUGAGUUGUAAACUGCUUUUGCCAGGGGAUAAAAUACGGAUGCGUCCGGAAUUGAAGGUACCUGGUGAAUAAGCCACGGCUAACUACGUGCCAGCAGCCGCGGUAAUACGUAGGUGGCAAGCGUUGUCCGGAUUUAUUGGGUUUAAAGGGUGCGUAGGCGGUCUUUUAAGUCAGCGGUGAAAUACUUCAGCUUAACUGGAGAGGUGCCAUUGAUACUGGGAGACUUGAGUACUGAUGAGGUAGGCGGAAUGGACGGUGUAGCGGUGAAAUGCUUAGAUAUCGUCCAGAACACCGAUAGCGAAGGCAGCUUACUAAGGAGUAACUGACGCUGAGGCACGAAAGUGUGGGGAUCAAACAGGAUUAGAUACCCUGGUAGUCCACACUGUAAGCGAUGAUUACUCGAUGUUGGCGAUACACAGCCAGCGUCUUAGCGAAAGCGAUAAGUAAUCCACC
rnacentral:rRNA from 1 species